GAUGAACGCUAGCUACAGGCUUAACACAUGCAAGUCGCGGGGCAGCAUGGGGGUUGCUUGCAAUCCCCGAUGGCGACCGGCGCACGGGUGAGUAACGCGUAUCCAACCUGCCCUUCACCACGGGAUAACCCGGCGAAAGUCGGACUAAUACCGUAUGUUGUCCAUUGACGGCAUCCGAUUUGGACGAAAGGUUUGGCGGUGAAGGAUGGGGAUGCGUCCGAUUAGCUGGACGGCGGGGUGACGGCCCACCGUGGCGACGAUCGGUAGGGGUUCUGAGAGGAAGGUCCCCCACACUGGAACUGAGACACGGUCCAGACUCCUACGGGAGGCAGCAGUGAGGAAUAUUGGUCAAUGGGCGUAAGCCUGAACCAGCCAAGUAGCGUGCAGGAUGACGGCCCUAUGGGUUGUAAACUGCUUUUAUGCGGGGAUAAAGUGGCCCACGUGUGGGUUUUUGCAGGUACCGCAUGAAUAAGGACCGGCUAAUCCCGUG
rnacentral:rRNA from 1 species